rnacentral:rRNA from 1 species
AUUGAACGCUGGCGGAAUGCUUUACACAUGCAAGUCGAACGGCAGCACGGACUUCGGUCUGGUGGCGAGUGGCGAACGGGUGAGUAAUGUAUCGGAACGUGCCCAGUCGUGGGGGAUAACGUAGUGAAAAUUACGCUAAUACCGCAUACGAUCUAUGGAUGAAAGCGGGGGAUCGUAAGACCUCGCGCGAUUGGAGCGGCCGAUAUCAGAUUAGGUAGUUGGGGGGGUAAAGGCCCACCAAGCCAACGAUCUGUAGCUGGUCUGAGAGGACGACCAGCCACACUGGAACUGAGACACGGUCCAGACUCCUACGGGAGGCAGCAGUGGGGAAUUUUGGACAAUGGGCGAAAGCCUGAUUCAGCCAUUCCGCGUGCAGGAUGAAGGCCCUCGGGUUGUAAACUGCUUUUGUACAGAACGAAAAGGUUUCUACUAAUACUAGGAGCUCAUGACGGUACUGUAAGAAUAAGCACCGGCUAACUACGUGCCAGCAGCCGCCGUAA